rnacentral:tRNA from 1 species
AAGAAAUUAGUUAAAUUAUAACAUUAAUUUGUCAAAUUAAAAUUAUUACUAUUAAUAUUUCUUU